CCUACGGGAGGCAGCAGUGAGGAAUAUUGGUCAAUGGACGAGAGUCUGAACCAGCCAAGUCGCGUGAAGGAUGACUGCCCUAUGGGUUGUAAACUUCUUUUAUAUGGGAAUAAAAUGUUCCACGUGUGGGAUUUUGUAUGUACCAUAUGAAUAAGGAUCGGCUAACUCCGUGCCAGCAGCCGCGGUAAUACGGAGGAUCCGAGCGUUAUCCGGAUUUAUUGGGUUUAAAGGGAGCGUAGGUGGAUUGUUAAGUCAGUUGUGAAAGUUUGCGGCUCAACCGUAAAAUUGCAGUUGAAACUGGCAGUCGUGAGUACAGUAGAGGUGGGCGGAAUGCGUGGUGUAGCGGUGAAAUGCUUAGAUAUCACGAAGAACUCCGAUUGCGAAGGCAGCUCACUGGACUGCAACUGACACUGAGGCUCGAAAGUGUGGGUAUCAAACAGGAUUAGAUACCCGAGUAGUC
rnacentral:rRNA from 1 species